CGGGAAUUUUGGGCAAUGGGCGAAAGCCUGACCCAGCAACGCCGCGUGAGGGAUGAAGUAUUUCGGUAUGUAAACCUCGAAAGAAUGGGAAGAAUAAAUGACGGUACCAUUUAUAAGCUCCGGCUAACUACGUGCCAGCAGCCGCGGUAAUACGUAGGGAGCAAGCGUUGUUCGGAUUUACUGGGCGUAAAGGGCGCGUAGGCGGCGCGGUAAUUCACUUGUGAAAUCUCUGAGCUUAACUCAGAACGGCCAAGUGAUACUGCUGGGCUAGAGUGCGGAAGAGGCAACCGGAAUUCUUGGUGUAGCGGUGAAAUGCGUAGAUAUCAAGAGGAACACCGGGGGCGAAGGCGGGUUGCUGGGCCGACACUGACGCGGAUGCGCGAAAGCCAGGGGAGCAAACG
rnacentral:rRNA from 1 species